ensembl:lncRNA
CUUACUUAACUACCUCACAGAGACUUUAUCACAAGCAGAAGAGACCAUGUAUUUUUAAAAGUACACUGUAGAGGAUGUGUGUUGUCAUAGAAGGGGAGGCAGUAGAAACUGUCAUGUUGGAGUCAUGAUGAGAAGGGCAUUCAGACAGGGAGGUGGCCUGGUAUGGGGGUGUUCUUGGUGCUAGAGGAACCACCUGGCCUUGGGAUGUCAGCAUGGAUGGAGUGAGAGGGUAGCCAAGCAGAGGAGGAGACAGCAGUGAUGAUUAGAGAUAGAUGGCUGAUUCCAGGACUGGAAGAAAGAAGUAAAACAAGAGACUGGAGUCCCUAGUUGUGCCAGAAAACAAGCGGGUGAGUCCUCCUUAUUCCUGAUUUAUGGCAAUCAGCAGUCACUCCUAAUGAUCAGUAAACAAUGUUUUUAAAAUGCAAAGAAUCUCUUUCAAAUUGAACCCAAAAUGACAACUAAUGCUUUUUGUGACCUGAAAAUUGCAACAUUAUAUGUAAUGUUUGGAUAUUGUUCAUCAUCUUUGAAUUCCUCAUGACUUAUAAACCUUUUGCCUAUGGAUAAUUUACAAGAAUAACUUACAACUUAAUUUACAACCUAUUACAUCUGUAGAUUUAAUUAAAUUGUGAGUCCUGCCUCUUAAUUGUAUUGCAU